UACGAACCGUCCUAACGUUAUUCGGAAUUAUUGGGCUUAAAGGGUGCGUAGGCGGCCCGGGAAGUUGGGUGUGAAAUCCCUCGGCUCAACCGAGGAAUUGCGCCCAAAACUGCCGGGCUUGAGGGAGAUAGAGGUGAGUGGAACUUAGGGUGGAGCGGUGAAAUGCGUUGAUAUCCUAAGGAACACCGGUGGCGAAAGCGACUCACUGGGUCUCUUCUGACGCUGAGGCACGAAAGCUAGGGUAGCGAAGAGG
rnacentral:rRNA from 1 species